rnacentral:lncRNA from 1 species
CCACCUGGAAAACAACGGGAAAGUAGUUCAAGUUUCCAGUAAAAACAAUUAAGUAUUGGAAAUCAAGCGCUCACCUGGAGAAAAAAGGGAAGUAGUUUUAGUUUCGAGGAAAAACAAUUCAAGUGUUGGAAAUCAGACACCCACCUAGAUAACAAAGGGACACAGUUCGAGUUUCGAGGAUAAAAUAGUUCAAGUGUUGGAAAUCAAGCGCCCACAUGGAGAAUAAAGGGAAGUAGUCCGAGUUUCGAG